UGCCCUAGUAACGGCGAGUGAAGCGGCAACAGCUCAAAUUUGAAAUCUGGCUCUCGGGCCCGAGUUGUAAUUUGUAGAGGAUGCUUUUGAUGCGGUGCCUUCCGAGUUCCCUGGAACGGGACGCCAUAGAGGGUGAGAGCCCCGUCUGGUUGGAUGCCAAAUCUCUGUAAAGCUCCUUCGACGAGUCGAGUAGUUUGGGAAUGCUGCUCUAAAUGGGAGGUAUAUGUCUUCUAAAGCUAAAUACCGGCCAGAGACCGAUAGCGCACAAGUAGAGUGAUCGAAAGAUGAAAAGCACUUUGAAAAGAGAGUUAAAAAGUACGUGAAAUUGUUGAAAGGGAAGCGUUUAUGACCAGACUUGGGCUUGGUUAAUCAUCUGGGGUUCUCCCCAGUGCACUUUUCCAGUCCAGGCCAGCAUCAGUUUUCGCCGGGGGAUAAAGGCUUCGGGAAUGUGGCUCUCUCCGGGGAGUGUUAUAGCCCGUUGCGUAAUACCCUGGCGGGGACUGAGGUUCGCGCAUCUGCAAGGAUGCUGGCGUAAUGGUCAUCAACGACCCGUCUUGAAACACGGACCAAGGAGUCGUCUUCGUAUGCGAGUGUUCGGGUGUCAAACCCCUACGCGUAAUGAAAGUGAACGCAGGUGAGAGCUUCGGCGCAUCAUCGACCGAUCCUGAUGUUCUCGGAUGGAUUUGAGUAAGAGCAUACGGGGCCGGACCCGAAAGAAGGUGAACUAUGCCUGUGUAGGGUGAAGCCAGAGGAAACUCUGGUGGAGGCUCGCAGCGGUUCUGACGUGCAAAUCGAUCGUCAAACAUGGGCA
rnacentral:rRNA from 1 species